GAGUCUAUACUUUCAGGGGUCAUUCUUAUACUUUGUCACUAGAGCAGCUUCUCUGAGUGUGUAGAGUGCCAGAAACCACAAGGAGGAGGUGCAGCGUUCUCUCCUGAGCUUGAAGCCGGCUCUUGGGGUUGCUUUGCUGCAACUGCCACUUGCCAGUGAUGAUGGUUCCUGCCCCCCUUCGGAGAGCUGGAGGGAGAGGACGCAGUCUGAAUGU
ensembl:snoRNA U3 Small nucleolar RNA U3